AAAUUCGUACGUAAGUAUGACAGGGAGGCAACACGUCGAACGUGGUUCACGGUAGGCCCUCUGUUCUGUGAUUGUUAGGCAAACACAAACAUUUUUUUUUACAACGGACGCCCACGAGUAUUCCUCUGCGUUGAAGUCAUUGUUGAAGUUUGAAAACUCAUAAAGUUUUGUUUUGUGAGUGAAACCGUGAAUAAUACUAAAUAAAAAUGUGUGACAGUGAUCACAGUGAUGAAAAUAUGUUGCCCACUACUCCUCAGGAAAUAUUAAAGCCUUUUCCGUUUAUGUUGUUCCGUUGUUUGCUAUUUUGACAACUUGAAAAGUUUUAUCGGCAGUUUGCGUGUUAUUACUGUGAAGUGUUUGGCCAAACCGCCGCUACCACUUUUGAAAGGAUGCCACCCAAAAAUCCAAAAAUGUAAGUUACACAAAACAAAAAGAAUUUAUUUGCAGAAAAAUAUAGCUAUUUGCCAGUUCCUUUGAUCGUUAACUUAUGUGACUGUUUUUUUUCAGUCGCUCGAACGCAGCACAAAUUAGAUUGCUCGUUGAAUACAUGUCACAGCACACCCGGUUCGCCAACCGGGAAUUUGACGGGCCUCUAAGGACCCCAGAGGUACGAGGCGCAAUGGGAGGCCCUUGCACAGGCCUUAAGGGAGCACGGGCCCAAUAAGUCAGUGCAGGCAUGGAAAGUGUAUCGGCAUAUAAUAACAAGUCAGAAAAUUUGAAACGAGUGGCGAUAAAUUAAAACACGACUGAAGGGAGUGUUUUAAAUUGACACGAGUUGCGAAUUACCUAUUCGCACAUGUAUCGUACAACGUUUUACAGUACAUAAGGUACCCUUUAAAUGUUUGACACAGUAACGUAAUAUGGUAAUUUUCGCACUAGUGCGGUAAAGUAGUACCAUAUGUACAGUCAGCGUCAAAUACUUCGUAGUACACCAUACUAAAUAUAUGGUGUACCGAACUAUUUGGCUACUUUGGUUGCUACAAAGUAUUUGACGCUGACUGUACUGUAAAAGCUGUUUUAAUACUAUUAAUAAGUAUAGUUAGUGUAUUAAUUUUGCCAUAAUCGCAUGCAGUUAUGACUAUGGGUAUAAAUAUUGUUGAAUUUAUAUAGCCGAGUCCACACAGAGCGACCGAGGAGGCGCGUGCGUUUUCCUUGCCCGAGCGCACGUCUACACUGGCCAGUUUGUGCGUGAGAAUAUUGCCUCACGCGUAUGCUCGCUCUGUGUGGACCCGGCUAAUCAUGUAUAAAUGACAACAGAUUUUAUUCUCUAGGUGGGCACCUGCUCCCCGCUGGCGACACCCUUGCAGAAGCUAGCAUUUUCAGAUAUAUUUACUUUUUAAGUUUUUGGUUUGGUUUAACCGGAAUUAUUUUUACCCGACUAUGAGAAUGGGAAGGGUUAUGAUUUUAGCAGUCUACGUAUGGAUGCCGUAUAUAUGCCGGAUAUCCUGAACGAACUGAAAAUUUUUAAUGAGGCGCAGAAACAAAAAUGGAGUGUUUUGAAGGAGGGGCACGACUUGUUGGCGAAUCGGUUCAUCCUCUGACCUUUCCAAGGAGCAAGAUCUUAUUUUCGUGUAUGAGAGCCUUUGGAAUACAAUAUUAUUAACGCCCGAAUGAGUGCUACCGCGUUUAAUUUCGCCACUAGGGGUGCUAGUGUAGACGGAGGUCUUUCGAAAUGUCAAAUGCAUAGCUUUUUUAUCGUGAAUUUCUACUCCUCAUUCAUAAUUGUGGUAAAUCUUAUUUCAUCUUUGAUUAGUUAGUCACCAAACAAAAGUAACUCAAAUAGCCGGGUCCACACAGAGCGAGCAUACGCGCCAGGCAACUUCCUCACGCACAAAACGGCCAGUGUAGACGUGCCUCGGACGAGGCGCAGCGCGCGUUUUCCUCGCCCUAGUGCGCCGCCUCGGCCGAGGCACGUCUACACUGGCUGGGAUUACCAUCGAAUCGUCUAAUGUCGGUUUUGUUCCUUUGGGUUUGUUGUACCUAGUGACAUGUUUUUUAAACGAUUGCAACGCCAUCUGCGAGUUGCUCGAGAGACUCAACUUACACACAUAUAUGGAUGUGGCUUCAAAAGUAAUCACCGUUAAUAUCUCGUACCUUGAAUAAAGGACCCACUUCUUAAUUAUUAUUAUAAAUUAUAUUUUGGUAUUGUUCCAGUAUUAACACAUUGGAGGACACCGAGAUUAUUGAGAACUUGGAAGACACAGUUAUAAUGGAAGAGGAAGACGUCUGAGCUAAGCGCUGUCCUCGCACCCUCCGUCUAGUUUACGUUUGCGGCCAUAUCAAAAAUACACACCGUAUGUUUAUUAGGGUUCCGUACCAAAAAGGUACAAAAGGAACCCUUAUGGUGCUAUUGCUAAAUAUCUCGAGAAGUACUUAAGCUAUCGAUGUGAAAUUUGGAAUAGUAAUGAAUAACGCUGACCCAAACAUAUUGGAUGUGUAUUUAUUUUAUUUUAUUUGUAAGUAUUAAUAAUGGAAAAUUCCCAAUAUGAAGAGGGGGUAAAAUUGCAAAGUCUAGUUAAAUAGGUCAAGUGGGGUAUCAUUUGAAAGAGCUCAAAUUGAAAAUUACAAAACAAUUUUUUAUUUUCAUUGUGAAAAAAAAUUUACGUAUGAAGGAAAAUGUGAAAAUAAUACCAUCCCCCCCCCCUCUCUCAUCUCCGAAGUUUAAGAAUAAAAAUUGUUUUUUUUACAUUGGUCAAGUCUUUCAUGAGAAAAUUUGAAGUUUGUACGGAACCCUCGGUGUGCGAGGUAAACGAACUCGCACUUGACCGGUUAUUCUUAUUGCCCAUAAGGCCCGUCCUUAGAUAUAUGUCAAUGAUUACGGUGAUCUCGAAAAUGGCUCAAAUGAUUUCAAUUAAAUUUGCUAUAUGGGGGUUUUCGGGGCGUUUUUGAGUUUUUACCUAUUUGUUUUCCGAGCAAAAGGAAUUAAAGUUUACUGAUUUUGAAAA